rnacentral:rRNA from 1 species
UUGAAAAGUUAGCGGAUGACCUGUGGAUCGGAGUGAAAGGCUAAUCAAGCUCGGAGAUAGCUGGUUCUCCUCGAAAGCUAUUUAGGUAGCGCCUCGUGUAUCACUGCUGGGGGUAGAGCACUGUUUCGGCUAGGGGGUCAUCCCGACUUACCAAACCGAUGCAAACUCCGAAUACCAGCAAGUGUCAGCACGGGAGACACACGGCGGGUGCUAACGUCCGUCGUGAAAAGGGAAACAACCCAGACCGUCAGCUAAGGUCCCAAAAUCCUGGUUAAGUGGGAAACGAUGUGGGAAGGCUCAGACAGCUAGGAGGUUGGCUUAGAAGCAGCCAUCCUUUAAAGAAAGCGUAACAGCUCACGGGUAUAGUUUUUUUGUGUCAAAAAUGUAUAAGGACUUAAAUUAUUACUUACCGAAACGGUAGAUUACGUUAAACGCGUAAUGGUAGCAGAACGUUCUGUUAAUUAAUGAAGGUAUAUAGUUAUAUAUAUUGGAAAUAUCAGAAGUGAGAAUGUUGAUAUGAGUAACGAUAAACAACGUGAGAAACGUUGUCGCCUUAAGUUUAAGGUUUAUAAGGGAAGGUUAAUCCUCCUUAAGUUAAAGAACUAUCUUUAAAUAAAUAAAAUCGGUCCCUAAGAAUUAUACGAAUGUUAAAUUUAAUGGGUUAAUAAUCUAAUAUGUUAUUUGUUAAGGUUAAAGUGACAAAAUUUAAAUUUAAUAAUUAUUAUAUGGUAUUAAUAAUUGUUUUUUAUUAUUUUCAAGAAAUAGCUUUAACCGUAUAUUAAAUAAAAACCGUACUGUAAACCGACACAGGUAAACAAAUUUAGUAAAUUAAGGCGCUUGAGUUAAUUGUGUUGAAGGAACUCGGCAAAAUGACUCCGUAACUUCGGGAGAAGGAGUGCCUUAUUCGUAAGGUUGCAAUAACAAGAUCCAAGCAACUGUUUAUCAAAAACACAGGUCUCCGCUAAGUCGCAAGACGAUGUAUGGGGGCUGACGCCUGCCCAGUGCCAGAAGGUUAAAGAAGUUGGUUAGCAUCUGCGAAGCUGAUGACUGAAGCCCUGGUGAACGGCGGCCGUAACAAUAACGGUCCUAAGGUAGCGAAAUUCCUUGUCGGGUAAGUUCCGACCUGCACGAAUGGCGUAACGACUUCCCCACUGUCUCCAGUACAUGCUCAGCGAAAUUGAA